CCUACGGGAGGCUGCAGUGGGGAAUAUUGGGCAAUGGGCGAACGCCUGAAGCAGCGACGCCGCGUGAGGGAUGAAGGUCUUCGGAGCGUAAACCUCUGUCAGCAGGGAAGAACGGUCACUGUGCUAAUCAGCAGUGAAUUGACGGUACCUGCAAAGGAAGCACCGGCUAACUCCGUGCAAGCAGCGGCGGUAAUACGGAGGGUGCGAGCGUUAAUCGGAAUUACUGGGCGUAAAGCGCUCGUAGGCGGGAUGUCAAGUCAAGGGUGAAAUCCCCGCGCUCAACGUGGGAACUGCCUUUGAAACUGGCAAACUGGAGUGUGUGAGAGGAUAGUGGAAUUCGAGGUGUAGGAGUGAAAUCCGUAGAUAUCUGGAGGAACACCAGUGGCGAAGGCGACUAUCUGGCACAUAACUGACGCUGAGGAGCGAAAGCGUGGGUAGCAAACAGGAUUAGAUACCCCUGUAGUC
rnacentral:rRNA from 1 species